rnacentral:rRNA from 1 species
UACGGGGGGAGCAAGGCGUUGUUCGGAUUUACUGGGCGUGAAGGGCGCAGGUAGGCGGUCGUGGACAAGUUCACUUGUGAAAUCUCCGGGCUUAACUCGGAACGGUCAAGUGAUACUGUCGGACUAGGAGUACAGAAGGGGGCAACUGGAAUUCUCGGUGUAGCGGUGAAAUGCGUAGAUAUCGAGAGGAACACCUGCGGCGAAGGCGGGUUGCCUGGGCUGAUGACUGACGCUGGAGGCGACGAAAGCCCAGGGGAGCGAACGGGG